UUUUUUUUUUUUUUUCUUUCCAAAGAGAGAGUCCAAGAAAGAAACCAAAUCCUCUUGUGGCCUCUUUACAUUUUUUCAGGAGAGAGAAAACUCAAAGCAGCUCUCUCUGGCCUUUGUUUUCUGAAAUCGAUCUCUUCUUCUUCUUCUUCUUCAUGAUCUGGUUGGUUUUUGUGCAUCUGAGUUUGUAAAAACUUCUUCUCUGGACUGAGUAAAAAAAAAAAAAAAA